rnacentral:rRNA from 1 species
AUGGACUACUUGGCUUUUCUCUGUCAGGAUGAAAAAAAAAUUGAACACCCAAAGUUAAAUUCCUGGAUCCGCCGGCCUGGACCGGCAUUUUGGUACAGGGGUGACGAUUCGAAACAGCACAGGAAGGGAUUCUCAAAAAAAAAAGCACAGGAAGGAGAAUCUCGUCCUCCACCUCUCCCCAUUCCCCGAACUUUACCUCAUGGGAGAAGCCCCAGCCACAUAACAGACUUUGCCUCUCUCCCCUCGGGCGAUGGCAGCGGGGGUGCUGCCCGGCGAGAUGUCCACCAGCGGCGUCGACUCUGUUGGGAUCCAUGGGGCUCCGGCUUGUGGUGCUUCCAUCCUACCCGCGGAGUCGCAGGAUCCAUGAGCGUCAAUGUCCAGAUGGGCAGCGGCGGCGGGACUGGCGGUGGCGCCGCCGGAUACGUGAUGUGCUCUGAAGCUACCAGUGGCUGGAUAAGGAGGGGUAGGUGUCAAUCAAAAGAAGCGCCCAAGGGGCAGGCCAACAACAAGCCGAGACAAGGCUCCUUACGAGCAACAUUUGAAGAGGCCUCGGUUUUGUAA